ACGGCUCAGUAACACGUAGUCAACAUGCCCAGGGGACGUGGAUAACCUCGGGAAACUGAGAAUAAACCGCGAUAGGUCACAAUUUCUGGAAUGGAUUUUGGCUCAAAUCUACAUGGCCCCUGGAUUGGACUGCGGCCGAUCAGGCUGUUGGUGAGGUAAUGGCCCACCAAACCUAUAACCGGUACGGGCUCUGAGAGGAGGAGCCCGGAGAUGGGCACUGAGACAAGGGCCCAGGCCCUAUGGGGCGCAGCAGGCGCGAAACCUCUGCAAUGGGCGAAAGCCUGACAGGGUUACUCUGAGUGAUUCCCGCUAAGGGGAUCUUUUGACACCUCUAAAAAUGGUGUAGAAUAAGGGGUGGGCAAGUCUGGUGUCAGCCGCCGCGGUAAUACCAGCACCCCGAGUGGUCGGGACGAUUAUUGGGCCUAAAGCAUCCGUAGCCGGUUCUUCAAGUCUUCCGUUAAAUCCAGCCGCUCAACGGAUGGGCUGCGGAAGAUACUAAAGGACUAGGAGGCGGGAGAGGCAAGCGGUACUCAGUGGGUAGGGGGUAAAAUCCUUUGAUCCAUUGAAGACCACCAGUGGCGAAGGCGGCUUGCCAGAACGCGCUCGACGGUGAGGGAUGAAAGCUGGGGGAGCAAACCGGAUUAGAUACCCGGGUAGUCCCAGCUGUAAACGAUGCAGACUCGGUGAUGGGCUAGCCUUGUGCUAUCCCAGUGCCGCAGGGAAGCCGUUAAGUCUGCCGCCUGGGGAGUACGGUCGCAAGACUGAAACUUAAAGGAAUUGGCGGGGGAGCAC
rnacentral:rRNA from 1 species